rnacentral:rRNA from 1 species
UGCAGUCGAACGAUGAUGUCCCGCUUGCGGGACGGAUUAGUGGCGAACGGGUGAGUAAUACGUGAGUAACCUGCCCCUGACUCUGGGAUAAGCCUGGGAAACCGGGUCUAAUACUGGAUACUACCUCCUGCCGCAUGGUGGGUGGUGGAAAGGGUUCUACUGGUUUUGGAUGGGCUCACGGCCUAUCAGCUUGUUGGUGGGGUAAUGGCUCACCAAGGCGACGACGGGUAGCCGGCCUGAGAGGGUGACCGGCCACACUGGGACUGAGACACGGCCCAGACUCCUACGGGAGGCAGCAGUGGGGAAUAUUGCACAAUGGGCGCAAGCCUGAUGCAGCGACGCCGCGUGAGGGAUGACGGCCUUCGGGUUGUAAACCUCUUUCAGUAGGGAAGAAGCGAAAGUGACGGUACCUGCAGAAGAAGCGCCGGCUAACUACGUGCCAGCAGCCGCGGUAAUACGUAGGGCGCAAGCGUUGUCCGGAAUUAUUGGGCGUAAAGAGCUCGUAGGCGGUCUGUCGCGUCUGCUGUGAAAGCCCGGGGCUCAACCCCGGGUCUGCAGUGGGUACGGGCAGACUAGAGUGCAGUAGGGGAGACUGGAAUUCCUGGUGUAGCGGUGAAAUGCGCAGAUAUCAGGAGGAACACCGAUGGCGAAGGCAGGUCUCUGGGCUGUUACUGACGCUGAGGAGCGAAAGCAUGGGG